rnacentral:rRNA from 1 species
UGCCAGCCGCCGCGGUAAGACAAAAAAUGCAAACGUUGUUCGGAAUUACUGGGCGUAAAGCGCGUGUAGGCGGCCGAGUAAGUCGGGUGUGAAAGCCCAGGGCUCAACCUUGGAAGUGCACUCGAAACUGCACGGCUGGAGUCUCGGAGAGGGAAGUGGAAUUCUGGGUGUAGAGGUGAAAUUCGUAGAUAUCCAGAGGAACACCAGUGGCGAAGGCGACUUCCUGGACGAGUACUGACGCUGAGACGCGAAGGCGUGGGUAGCGAACGGGAUUAGAUA